AUUGAACGCUGGCGGCAUGCCUUACACAUGCAAGUCGAACGGCAGCACGGGGCAACCUGGUGGCGAGUGGCGAACGGGUGAGUAAUGCAUCGGAACGUACCUUUCAGUGAGGGAUAACGUAGCGAAAGUUACGCUAAUACCGCAUAUUCUGUGAGCAGGAAAGCAGGGGAUCGCAAGACCUUGCGCUGAUUGAGCGGCCGAUGUCAGAUUAGCUAGUUGGUGAGGUAAAGGCUCACCAAGGCGACGAUCCGUAGCGGGUCUGAGAGGAUGAUCCGCCACACUGGAACUGAGACACGGUCCAGACUCCUACGGGAGGCAGCAGUGGGGAAUUUUGGACAAUGGGGGCAACCCUGAUCCAGCCAUGCCGCGUGAGUGAAGAAGGCCUUCGGGUUGUAAAGCUCUUUCGGCCGGGAAGAAAUCGCACGGGCUAAUACCCUGUGUGGAUGACGGUACCGGCAUAAGAAGCACCGGCUAACUACGUGCCAGCCGCCGCAGUAAGAC
rnacentral:rRNA from 1 species